UUGUUUUGAAGUUGGAUUAAGUUGAUGGAUCUGAUGAAUCAAUAAUUUUUCUGUACCAAUCAUUGUAAAGGGUUAUAUGCAUGUAGCUCUUUUGCAGACAGCCUUCCGUUGGGAUGCUUUUUGUUGGAAAAAAUUAUUUGAUGGAUCCGAUCCAAUGGACUAAUUCAAAUUCGAGGCAUGUAUCCAAUGCAUAAAAAAUUAAAUUCUUAUCUCUAUUUUG
rnacentral:lncRNA from 1 species